CACCUCUUAACCUUCUCUUCUCCAGGCUAAACAUCCCCAGCUCCCUCAGGCAUUCCUCGUAAGGCAUGGUUUCCAGACCCUUCCCCAUUUUGGUCACCCUCCUUCAGCUUCUCAACAUCUUCACCCUUUGAGAGGUUUCUGGGAUUCGGCAAAUAAAUGGAGAAGGUGGUGUCAUUAACAGUUACUCUUUUCAAUAUCUUAUCAUUACAUAGCAUGGCUGCUGGGCUCCAGCACAAAUGCAGAUAAGACUUGCUUUUUGUCUCUGGGUUUCAACAGAUUGGAUCUGAGUCUGUAUAAUUUGUCCUGAUUUUGGGCUUUGUGGCUUGAGCAUAAAUUCCAAAGUAAUUGCUUAACUAAUUCCCCAAAUUCCAUAGUUUUGCAUAUGCCAAACAGAAAAUUCUCUUCCACGGUUUGUCAAAAGCCAUAGUAGCACCAAAAGCAACCAAAGCUAUCUUAAGCAUUUUAUUAACUUUACUGUGCUGGACCAUAUUAAUGAGUUAGUCUAUAGGGUCAAAAUCCCGUGGCUAGGUUUAACAACUCCAUAAUGGUCUUGUAGGAUAUAUCAGACGGCAGUAUCAUUGAGUCUGGAUGUGAGAAUACUGGCAAAAGUUUGGCAUCUUGGUUUACUAAUGUAAUAGGCUGAUGAGAGUCUAGUUCCUGAAUGUUUUGAUCUGCUUAAGGCAGCAAAAUUAUUCUGGCUAGGUGUCAGGAUUCAGGAAUCCCCCCCACCCCAAAAUAAUUAUUGAAUUAAAUAAGGGCAGUUGUACUGGAGAAAAAUAUCUUCAAAAAACCUUGCUGCCCCUUCCCUCUUCGGUAACAACCCUAGUGCCUCCCCACCUACUUUUUGGUUUUAAGUCUACUGUUCUACUGCAAAUUCAAACCUAGCACUAUAAAGUUAAACAAGUUUAUGCAUUUCACAAAUAAACCUUACCUUUGUAAGACAAUUUAUUUAAUAUUAUUUUAUCAAUUUGAAAAAAUAAACAUACAUCUUGUCUGUAAAACAUUGCCUUCAUAGUUUUAAUGGGAUGGAUGGCUCGGUCGGUCCAGGCAUAUUCAUUUUUCAGUAUCAAGCUGGCAGUCACUAAGAAGUCUUAGAUCCCCACAUUCAAUAUUUUUCAGUCUGUUUCUUUGCUUGGAAAGAAGGUGGGCAACAGCACGGAAGCCUUGCUCUACUAACUGAUGUUGGACUUUGCCCAGUUGGUUCAGAAGAAAGUUCUUCUCAAGGGUCCUCGUCAAUUCAAAGAGAUCUUCAGGAGUCAAAUGUGACUGAUCUAAGCCUUUCAGAUGAAAGAGUGACCCAAAUUGAGAGCAUACUUGAUCUCUGGAGUGGAAGUCUUAAGAUUACCACUUUGGACUGCUUGACCGGACUGACUGCUGACUUGUGAAUGACCUGGACUGGAUUUAACGACCACUCCUUUUGACCACUGCUUUUGCUACAGACACUUUGUUGGAAAAAAAAACUCUCCUUCUCUCCCUGUUCCUGCUUGAGACACUGAGAUUUUAAUCUGGGAGUUUGCUAGCUUCCCAAAGGCAAAACAGGACAAAGUCAAGUCCCUCAGCCAAGGUAAAAAGUUUGUGGGGAAGAGGCUGUGUGCCUGGGGGGACCAGCAUCACUCAUGUCUCCUGUCUCUUGCUGUAGUGCCUUCAGCUGUGGCUCUGAUCCUAGUCUGUGCUGGAGUCCAGCAUAGUUGGAAGAGACAACCUGGACCAUGGAAUUAAUGUGGGCUCUGUCGUUAAGCAGUGUCAAUAAUGGUCAAUAAAGUUUGUGUCUUUUUUACCAGGUAAAGUGGGGUACUUUCAUUGCUUUAUUUGAUGAAUAAGAUUCUCAAGUCAGCUCACAUUUUAAAAUACACUUUGAGUUGCCUUGUACUUCCCUCAUCCAACUCUUCCUGCUAACACAAAGAGGAUGUAUAUUUCUCCUUUAGCUUGACCCUCUCCCUAUUCCUAAUGCAGGUUACCCAAGAACACUGUUAGGUCACCACCACCAAAAGUUCAUUCCUAAUCAUAUUUCUAAAUCUUCAGAAUCUCUUAAAGCAGAUGUGGGAGCCAACAGCCCUCCUGGUUCUGAUGAACUACUACUCCCAUCAUGCCUCACUACCAGCCAAUCCAAAAAGAGUACUGGCCAGGCUUGCAAGGGCUAUUGAGAAGAGGAGUUUAACUCACCAUCCUGGCCUUCAGAUACAGACCCCACUCAAGAACAGCACUCUUAUGGUGCUUGUAAUUACUGUGUUACAAAACAUAAAUAAUAGUCAGUGAAGGAGCCUUACCAAGAGAGGCUAUGAUCCCUUGGGUCUCCUCCAUGACAUGUGCAUGCAAAGCUCUCUGAUCAGGAUCCAGAAGAGCCCACUCCUCCUGGGAGAAAUGCACAACCACAUUCUCAAAGGUGAUCUGGUCCUGGUGGGAAAAGAAAACAUUUCCUGCUCAUACCACACACACAGGCUAUCAAGGUAAGAAGUGCAAGAGGCUUUAGGACAGAAACCUUCUUGUUGGCUGUCUGACGGAUUCAUUAGCACAGAAUACCAGUCACUUGGAAAAAAGCGCAGGAGAGGGCCUUGGCUUCCAUGGCUGUACUGCAGGAUAUCUAGAGGCCUCUGGUGGUCCCAUUGUGGGAACCAGGAUGUUGUACUAGAUGGGCCUUUUGUCUCACCCACAAGGGCCAGCCUUAUGCUCUUUGCUUUGCAAGAGGAAAAAAGGAAAGAUAUUUGUUUGGGAUCAAGGGGAAAGAAUAGGAAGAUCUCUCUAUUCCAAUUUCUUUUGUAUUUAAGAAAAAAAUCAGAGAAUAAGGGCAGCAACUUUCACUCUAUUUUAGAUCUUUUGUUAAACAGAAGUACACAGCCACCAAAGACUCAAACUACUGUGAGAAUUACUCUACAGGCCGCUGUGCUGGAAGUUGGUCUAGCUGACAUAUGAAAAUUUUUACACCCAGAGAUUAUACAUUUACAUCACCAGUUCCAAUUCCUUCAGAUUAGUUUUUUAAUUUCAGCAUCUUUGGCCAUGUAAAAGAAUGCAGAAUUGAUUCUUUAAUAGUAUCAGACUACAUGUCUGUUUGUUUGGAUUUACAUGUUUCUAAAUCUACUAGCCUUUGGUGGUGUGAUGUUUCUAUUUUUUAUGAGAAGAGGUACCAUCAAAAGGGAGGCUUGAAACACACAGGGGAAAGUUUGGAACAUAACACGUGGUCAGUGAAAAUGGAUCUUUCGUACCCCCUUGACUGCUAAAAGAUUGAUGAUCCAAUAUUGGAAAGGUAAUUUAUUCCCACCUGUAAUCCAAUAGACAGAAGCUUUAACAAAACUUGCAACAUUUGAAAGAAUGGUGUAUCAAUGUAAUUUACAAAUGAACUUAUAUUCAGAUAUUUGGUCUGCUUUUACUGAAAUAUAUGAGUAUGAUUUCUCUCUCUCUUUUAAAUUCCCUUAUUCCAUACUGGGGUAUUAACAUCAUGAGAUAUAAUUGAGAGCUUGACAAUGUAAUUUUACUUUCCAUUAUUAAUUUAAUAUUUUUUUAAAAGCCUAGACUAGAUUGGUUGACAACACAGAGAUUCCAGCCUAGCCAUUUAAUAGUGCCCAAACCCCAGGGCCAGGCAGAUGACCCUGUUCUUUUAAAAACUUCUCUUUUCAUUAAAAAUAUA